UCUAGAAUGUCAUCGUCGACCACUGGGCGGCGAAAUAAAUAAUACAACUUUCAGCAACGGAUCUCUUGGCUCUCGCAUCGAUGAAGAACGCAGCGAAUUGCGAUAAGUAAUGUGAAUUGCAGAUUUUCAGUGAAUCAUCGAAUCUUUGAACGCACCUUGCGCUCCUUGGUAUUCCGAGGAGCAUGCCUGUUUGAGUGUCAUUAAAUUCUCAACCAUGACUUUGUUGACAUGGCUUGGAGUUGGGGGUUGCUGGCUUGUUUGUCAGCUCUCCUGAAAUACAUUAGCGGUGGACAAGCAAGGCCUUCCGACGUGAUAAUGAUCGUCGUGGGGCGGAGCAUCAACGUCUGUCUGCUUCUAAAUCCCAGAUGCCUUAGCUAGACAUCAUUUCGAACGCUUGACCUCAAAUCAGGUAGGACUACCCGCUGAACUUAAGCAUAU
rnacentral:misc_RNA from 1 species